rnacentral:pre_miRNA from 1 species
GUAUUACUCCCUCCGUCCGAAAAUACUUGUCAUCAAAAUGGAUAAAAAGAGAUGUAUCUAGAACUAAAAUAUGUCUAGAUACAUCCCCUUUUAUCCAUUUUGAUGACAAGUAUUUCCGGAUGGAGGGAGUACUUC